CAGAUUUCUUGAAGCUCUCCCAGGUUCGACCACUCCGGUCCGGUCUCCAUAGCCAUACAGACUUUUAAUACUUUGGUCAGAGAAACCUCUACAACUACAAGGCUCAAUUGGAAACGACGUCGUCAGUAGAAUUUUGCAGCUCGUCAUUUUUUCUGUGGUUAGUCUCUCAGUUUCUUUGGUCCCCAUUGGCGUUCUUUUUUCUCCAUUUGUUUUCAGUAUGUUUCAAUCCUGAUUAAUCAGGCAUUGAUAAGUUUAAAAUUCCACCAACAUUUUCUCUCAAGCUGCUGGUAUUCAUUCUUCAACUGGGAUUUCUUUUUCCUUUUGUUAAGAAAAAUGCAAGUCCAAAGAUUUUCACUUCCCAAUUCUACUCUUUCUCCGUGUAGUCUCUCACCCACUUUCUCAUCAACACACCGUCUGACUACUAAACUCUGUGUUUUUAAUCUAAGUUCCACAUCUGGGUUUUUUAAGUCUCUUAAAAGGGUAUCCAAAUUGCCUACUGGUUUGGGAAAUCAUGAUGGUUUGGUUAGGAUAAGAUGUGGAGUGGUAGAAGACGAUAAUGGAGAUGGGUUUUAUGUGAGGAGGUGUGUGGAGAUUGCAAGGAAGGCUAUUGGGUGUACCAGCCCCAAUCCUUUGGUUGGUUGUGUUAUUGUCAAGGAUGGAAAAAUUGUUGGUGAAGGGUUUCAUCCUAAAGCUGGCCAGCCUCAUGCCGAGGUUUUUGCUCUUAGAGAUGCUGGAAACUUGGCUGAAAAUGCAACAGCAUAUGUGAGCUUGGAACCAUGUAAUCACUAUGGAAGAACUCCACCAUGCACAGAGGCGUUAAUUAAUGCUAAAGUAAAAAGGGUGGUGGUGGGAAUGGUAGAUCCAAAUCCAAUUGUAGCAUCAAAAGGAGUGGACAGAUUGAAAGAUGCAGGAAUUGAAGUUACAGUAGGUGUAGAACAAGAAUUAUGCAAGAUGCUCAAUGAGUCUUACAUCCAUAAAAUGUUGACAGGGAAGCCUUUUGUCACAUUAAGAUAUUCCCUCUCAGUCAAUGGCCACAUUGUAGACCAGCUUGGGGAAGGAGCUGAAGAGCCUGGUGGAUACUACUCACAAUUGCUUCAAGAAUAUGAUGCAGUUAUACUUUCUUCAGCCUCAAUAAAUGACAAAUUUCAAUUUCCUGCAUCCCAAGAACCUGGAGCCAAUCAACCUCUAUGGAUUAUAGCAGCCAGAAACCAUAGUUCCUCUACUAAUAUCUCUAGUUUGGCCAUAGAAACAGCUAGUAAGCUGAUUAUAUUCACUGACAAAGAGAUGGUAGAAGACCCAAAAAUGGCUCAGAAGGGAAUUGAAAGAGUAGUCUUAGGUGAGCUCAACUUAAAUGCCAUUCUGGAAUAUUGUAGCCGUCAAGGAUUUUGUAGCGUUUUGAUUGAGUCAAGAGGGAAGGUAGAAGCUAUCAAAGAGUUUCUCCAAGAGGGCAUUGAGCGAAAUUUGUUGCAAAAAGUUGUUGUAGAGGUAUUGCCUUUGUGGGUCGAAAUUGAUAAUGGGAAUCUGCCAGUUGCAUUGAAGGGUUUGAGGAGAAGACUAGAAAUGAAGAAAUUGCAAACUAAAAUAUCAGGAAAGAGUGUUGUUGUUGAGGGAUAUAUAUAAGUGAAUUGGACCAAUGGUAAAACUUCAUAUUUUUCAAAUCAUUUAGACUUCAUCAUUCAGUCUAUGAUUUCAUAGUAAUCUUACCAAGAACCACAUUCGAUGAAGCCUCUGUCAUGGGUAAAAUCAGGAUUCCCUAGCUUCUUAAUCUUUACUCUUUUUGGGGGUGGGUUCAUACAGAUAACAAGGGAACAGGGGGAGAGAAAUCAGCGUAAAUGAACUUUUUUACUCUCCUCGAAAGCAUUUUGAUGAACACAGCUCGAAGUUCAGCCUGAAAAUGUUAUGGUACACUUUAAUGGCAUAAGAAUGUCAUUCAUUUAUUUAGCUUCUUUUGAAAUUGUUUUAUAAAUAAUCAUCAUUUAAAAUGUAACAUGAGUUGCAAUUUUUUUCUUUCCAGAAAGACGUGUAAACAGAAUUCUCAUUUCUUUAGUUUUGGGGAGGGAAGAAACAAAAAACAAAAAAAAAAAAGAGUGGAAAAAAGGAAAAACAAAAACAAAAUGGAAGAUGGUAUACAAAUUCCAUUGUCUCAUUGAUCUCAUACUAACAAAAUUUUAUUUUAGAAUUGAGAAACAAUAUUCAUAUUCCUACAAUUGAUAUUCCAUUGUUUUGCCUAUGUUGUCAACUUGUAAUUUUUUCCAAAUAAGACUUAAAAAGGUCAUGGAAUGGCGAAAUAUAAAAACUUGUAGUUAUGUUUGGGGGGCUUACUUGCAGAGCAUGAGAGAUUAUUAAAAAGUCAUGGGAUUGGGACCAGCAGCUAGCAUAUGAAUAACUCGGAAUCUUCAUACGCCCAAUAUUCACAAUGUCCAAAGUUUAUUUUGUACGCUGCUACGACUCUUCUAUUCUGUAUAUGUGUCUGUGUUCGUAGAAUACGAAUUUAUUAACAUUUUGUAUU